rnacentral:rRNA from 1 species
GAUGAACGCUGGCGGCGUGCCUAAUACAUGCAAGUCGAGCGAACAGAUGAGGAGCUUGCUCCUCUGACGUUAGCGGCGGACGGGUGAGUAACACGUGGAUAACCUACCUAUAAGACUGGGAUAACUUCGGGAAACCGGAGCUAAUACCGGAUAAUAUAUUGAACCGCAUGGUUCAAUAGUGAAAGACGGUUUUGCUGUCACUCAUAGAUGGAUCCGCGCCGCAUUAGCUAGUUGGGAAGGUAACGGCUUACCAAGGCAACGAUGCGUAGCCGACCUGAGAGGGUGAUCGGCCACACUGGAACUGAGACACGGUCCAGACUCCUACGGGAGGCAGCAGUAGGGAAUCUUCCGCAAUGGGCGAAAGCCUGACGGAGCAACGCCGCGUGAGUGAUGAAGGUCUUCGGAUCGUAAAACUCUGUUAUUAGGGAAGAACAAAUGUGUAAGUAACUAUGCACGUCUUGACGGUACCUAAUCAGAAAGCCACGGCUAACUACGUG